rnacentral:rRNA from 1 species
GACGAACGCUGGCGGCGCGCCUAACACAUGCAAGUCGAACGAGCGAGAGGAGAGCUUGCUUUCUUGAGCGAGUGGCGAACGGGUGAGUAACGCGUGAGGAACCUGCCUCAAAGAGGGGGGACAACAGUUGGAAACGACUGCUAAUACCGCAUAAGCCCACGACCCGGCCAUCGGGUUGAGGGAAAAGGAGCAAUCCGCUUUGAGAUGGCCUCGCGUCCCGAUUAGCUGGUUGGUGAGGUAACGGCCCACCAAGGCAACGAUCGGUAGCCGGACUGAGAGGUUGAACGGCCACAUUGGGACUGAGACACGGCCCAG